rnacentral:rRNA from 1 species
UACCAGCUCCCUGAGUGGUAAGGACGAUUAUUUGGCCUAAAGCGUCCGUAGCCGGCUUAUCAAGUCUCUUGUUAAACCCAAUGAUUCAAUCAUUGAUCUGCAAGAGAUACUGUUAUGCUAGAGGACGGGAGAGGUCGACGGUAGUCCAGGGGUAGGGGUGAAAUCCUAUAAUCCUUGGAGGACCACCAGUGGCGAAGGCGGUCGACUAGAACGUGCCUGACGGUGAGGGACGAAAGCAGGGGGAGCGAACCGGAUUAGAUACCCGGGUAGUCCCAGCUGUAAACGAUGCGGGCUAGGUGUCGUGGUAGCUACGAGCUACUCCAGUGCCGCAGAGAAGUUGUUAAGCCCGCCGCCUGGGGAGUACGGCCGCAAGGCUGAAACUUAAAGGAAUUGGCGGGGGAGCACCACAAGGGGUGAAGGCUGCGGUUU